UUAAAUUGAAGAGUUUGAUCAUGGCUCAGAUUGAACGCUGGCGGCAGGCCUAACACAUGCAAGUCGAACGGUAACAGGAAGCAGCUUGCUGCUUUGCUGACGAGUGGCGGACGGGUGAGUAAUGUCUGGGAAACUGCCUGAUGGAGGGGGAUAACUACUGGAAACGGUGGCUAAUACCGCAUAACGUCGCAAGACCAAAGAGGGGGACCUUCGGGCCUCUUGCCAUCAGAUGUGCCCAGAUGGGAUUAGCUGGUUGGUGAGGUAACGGCUCACCAAGGCGACGAUCCCUAGCUGGUCUGAGAGGAUGAC
rnacentral:rRNA from 1 species